AUUCCACCGAGGACCCAAUGGAGGAACACCUCAGGGAGAAGAAAAAGGAGGCCCCAUGGAAAGUGAAGGUCAGACCCCCUGCAUUUGAGGAAUACGGUUGCUUUCCUAGCUUUAUCUUUCUGAAUGAGCCUAAGAGAUGAGAAUCUGACAGUAUGUAUUAUAGACGACCUAUACAGUUGUCCUUGGUCAGGGGAAUUCUGAGUGAGAGCCUGUUCCCCAGUGAGGCUUGAUUUUAAAUAGCAGGAUAAAAUGACAGCAUCAGCCACACACUGUGUGGCAGUGAGCUUUUCCCUUAGCAGCUUGAUUCUCUCCUUGGAACAAAAUUACUUAGGUUGCCAAGCCACAUGGACUUGGAGGAAACAUACUCCAAGGAAACUGUGUCUGUAGCAUGAGUCGGUUUGUCCUGUUCUUUUGUGUUCCUUGGACUUGAGCACUGUUUCCCAUCUGGUUUUCUAAUGUCACCAAGUGAAGAAAAGGCCUGUGCACACAGCACACAGCCUGGUCUGGCGCUCACAGCAAUAUGUUUUCUGUGAUUACAGGAGGCCUGGAGAGAGCAGGAGAGUGGUACGUAUGGGGGAAUCCCUCCCAUGUGAAUGAAGAAUCCAGGUGAUGAGGAAUGUGUCACCGUCUCGCUGGCUUUCCUGUAGACAUGCAGCCGGAGUGGAGCUUCCUGUUGUGACUGAGGACCUGGGCUGUGGUGGUGAAGUGGUUGCUCCAGGAAGGGUGGCCCAGCAGCAGCUUGGCUCGUGCUCUCACCCACCUCCUCCACACACGCCAGCCCUGUGUGCCCGGCACCCAAGACUGCCAGAGGUCCUUCAGCAGCUCCCAUGGCUGACAGUGACUCUAUGUUUCCUAGCGACGGUGGCCAGUGAGAUGUUUCCAGAAAUGACCCUAGCUCUUUGCCAGCGUGUUCCAUCCAGGAUGAAGUAG
rnacentral:lncRNA from 1 species